UAGUCAUAUGCUUGUCUCAAAGAUUAAGCCAUGCAUGUCUAAGUAUAAAUGGAUUAUACAGUGAAACUGCGAAUGGCUCAUUAAAUCAGUUAUAGUUUAUUUGACAAUACCUUUUACUUGGAUAACCGUAAUAAUUUUAGAGCUAAUACAUGCGUGAAAGUGCGACUUUUGUGGAAGCACUGUAUUUAUUAGAUACAAAACCAAUCGAGCUUGCUCGUUACCUUGGUGAUUCAUAAUAACUAAACGAAUCGUAUGACUUUAUGUCGACGAUGAUUCAUUCAAAUUUCUGCCCUAUCAACUUUCGAUGGUAAGGUAUUGGCUUACCAUGGUUACAACGGGUGACGGAGAAUUAGGGUUCGAUUCCGGAGAGGGAGCCUGAGAAACGGCUACCACUUCUACGGAGGGCAGCAGGCGCGCAAAUUACCCAAUCCUGACUCAGGGAGGUAGUGACGAGGAAUAACGAUACGUGACUUCGGUCUAGUAAUUGGAAUGAGUACAAUUUAAACCCCUUAAUGAAUUCCAUUUUAAGGG
rnacentral:rRNA from 1 species